UACGGAGGGUGCAAGCGUUGUCCGGAAUCACUGGGCGUAAAGGGCGCGUAGGCGGCUCAUGAAGGCUGUGGUGAAAGUCCGGGGCUCAACCUCGGAUCGGCCGUGGCGACUCGUGGGCUGGAGCACUGUAGAGGCGGGUGGAAUUCCGGGUGUAGCGGUGGAAUACGUAGAGAUCCGGAAGAACACCAGUGGCGAAGGCGGCCCGCUGGGCAGUGGCUGACGCUGAGACGCGAAAGCGUGGGGAGCGAACAGG
rnacentral:rRNA from 1 species